rnacentral:lncRNA from 1 species
AAGUCAGAAGAAGUCCAUCUCUGUGUCUUGCUUGUGUUGCUUUCUUUCUUUCUUUUUUUUUUUAGGGCCACACCUGCAGCAUAUCAAGGUUCCCAGGCUAGGGGUUGAAUCGGAGCUGUAGCUGUCGGCUUAUGCCAGAGACACAGCAACGCCAGAUCGAGCGGCGUUUCUGUGGUGUAGGUCAGAGAGGAGUCUCAAAUCCUGCGUUGCUGUGGCUGUGGCAUAGGCUGGUAGCUGUAGCUCCAAUUAGACUCUUAACCUGGGAACCUCAAUAUGCCAUGAGUACGGCAAAACCCCUCCCCCCCCAAAAAAGGAAUGAUGUACUGUGAAAUUUCACUCCUUUUUAUUCCCUCUUUCACCAUCUCUGCAUUUUUGUGAUUCCUCAGAUGUGCCUUCUUUCUUUCUUCCCACCUCCAUGCUCCUGUACAGAUUGUCCCCGUGACCUGGAACGCUCUCUCUUGCUUAUCAAGCCGGCGGACUUCUCCCUUUAGAUCAGAUCUCAUCUGAAGCCAACUUGACUCCCCCAGGGCGACUGAAGUGUUUUUCCUGUUGUCCAUGUGCCGCACGUUGGGUACAUUAUUCCUUUAUAAUGUUCUCAUGAGUGUGUGUAUUACAAUUGUUUGCCUCAGUCUCUCCUCACUGGACUAGGAACACUUUGAGGGCAGAGACUGUAUCUGUUUACUUUUCUAUACUUAACAAAGCGCCUGUAGGAAUGUAAUUCUAUUUGUUGGUGAAUUCGAUGGAUGAAUGGAUGAGUAGGUGGGAUAAAAAAGAAAAACAAUACGCGGAUUGAGACAAAUGAAUAAAUAAACGAAAGAACUAAUGAAAGGCACAAGGGCCUGACCUUAAGAUAUUGUCACGCUUGUAGGGAGACAGGAAUGUAAACACUCUCAGGGUGCAGUGAUAAAUACUUAGAGAUCCUCAGAGGGGAAAUAGCAAGUGGUCAUCAGCAGGCUCUGCCUGUAGACCUGCCUUGUUUCAGCUACACUGUGUUUAUUUACUUAUUUAAAAAAGUAAUUCAGAUCCCGAAUAUAAAAAUCCAGACCUCCAGCUUCCAAAUUUGGCCACCCUGGGCCAUCCUUCUACAGGGACCAGUGUCCUGGAGCUGGAGAAGCUGAGAGUCAGGGGCUGUGUUUAGUGUGGGCCAGUCCUCUGCAGCCCCCUCAGCUUCUCUCAUUUAUGUGACCAUCCUGACUUUGAAUGCACUUGGGUUUGUAACCCCUACUGUAGAUGAUGACUCGGAAUUUUUCCAAGGGGGACGUGAGAAAAGGGACAGUUCAGCGUGGAUGGAAGGAAGGAGGAAGUCGCAGUGAAGGAAGAUCCCAGGAGAUGUGAAAACUACAUAGACUAUUGGAAAACUGGCACAAUUCCCAUCCACCGGAAGUAUACAGAUUGUGGGGGACUUAAAGAGUUGGUUAAGGCCAGAGAAACCUGCAGGGGGCCCCAUCACAGGGUCUUUUUUUGUAGUUCUUUGCUAAGGAGUUUGGAUUUCAAUUCACGGUAAAGGGGAGUACUUGGGGAGUGGUCAAGCUGAGGGAUUGCAUGGUUGUCCCUUGUAAGGUAGAAGAUUCCAGAGGGGGAAGAGGGGAGGUAAGUGAUCCUGAUGGGAGGCUAUUUUCUGGUUCAGUGGUUCUUAAGUCUGGGUGAUUUUGCUUCUCGGGGGACACCGGGCAAAGUCCGGAGAUGCAAGGAGAGGGUGUGUUAUGGGCAUCUCGUGAGUAGAGCCUAGAGGUGCUGCUAAACAUCCUCCAGUAACAAGACGGCUCCCACAACAAAGAACUGUCCAGCCUAAAAGGUCAGUAGUGACAAGACUGAGAAACGUUGCUCUCUUCAGCUGAGUUGUCCAGAGGCCGUGAGCUCCCUAGUGACAGAGAAAGGGAUACAGUCAUUGUGUUUGGGAAGCGGAGUCCGCGGGCCUCAGCAACUGAUUAUUUGAUUGUGUUUGUUAGAGGGGGGAAAAGGAGGAUGAGCAAAUAGGGAGACAAAGCUGAGCAAGAUUUAUUUGGCAAAUGAAGAAGAAACCAGCCUUGAAAAGUAACUGCAAGUGCUAAAUUAUCAGUGCCAUCUUUCGGGUCUAUUGAUUAAACAGCACAGACUAGCACAUUUUCAUCCUUUUACAUCUUUAAGAACAAGCUGGUAUUUGUAAUUUUGUUGGGGACUAGCAAACCUAGCCUAUAUGUGGAAAAAAUAUAGAAAGGUUUCCAUUUAUUCUUUGGUGGCUUGUUUUGCAAAAGAUUUUUACUUUCAGGGUUUGCGAUAAAGUCAUGAGUCCAAGGUCAGUUUAAGUGCUCUCCGAGGUCACUUUCCUGAUGUUUUUCUCUCGCUAGAAGUUCUUUUGACCUUUUAGUAUGUAUUUCUUACAUAAAUCCAUUGGAAAAUGGGAAAUCGUGAAGGUAAUUCUCUCAAACUGUGUUUGAAUUUUUGUUCUAACUUGACUAUUUUGACACUCAUUUUUAUUAGUUAAGGGAAAAUGGAUCUUGGAAUUGACAGCUUUUAACCUUGCAUGUGCUAAAAUUAAUUUGAUCUCUUCUGUUGGUGCAGGAAUUCAGCUUUUGAAGGACCAGGAAGAGGAAGGAAGGUGGAGGUGAAAAGGAAAAGUUGAUUAAUAGUGACCUGGAAUAUUACUUGGUCUUGGCAAAAAGCUUUUUUUUUUUUUUUAAAGUCCCAAAUCUCUACCACAAACAUGGCUUUCUUCAAAUUCUGGUUACUUGUAAACCUUAUGUGUACUCAAGGGGUAUAGAGCAGAUAGGAUUCUGACCUGUCUACCUUAACUUCCAUCUUCACAUAAUCGUAGCUGUUCUUUGUCUUCCCUCUCUGGAAACUGGCAUAAGGAGAAGAGUGAGAAGGUGGGAGAGGGCUCCACUGGUAUUCAUCCAGUACCCACUGGAAUGCCUGUGUCCAUCCUGUUUUGUCAGUGUAUUAACCAGAGUCCCUGCAAAGAGCAGGUGGCACACACCAGUGGGGUAAUUUAAGAAGAAUGGGCAAGUGUGGGGAAACCACAGAGGAAUGUACACAAGACCCCUGGGCGCCCAGAAUGGGCGCCGGUGCCAAGGACAAGGGUGUGGGUGGGCAUGUUACCAGGUCCUGGAGAGAUGAUCUACAGAGAGCCUCAGGAGUUUGACCAUUGGUAGAGAGUCACCGCCAGGCCACACUUCCCUCUGGUCUUCUGAUGUCCCUCAGUGUCCCCUCCUUGGCCAAACCAGUUCCAGGCCAGAGGGCGGGGGGCAGCAGGGGUGGGGUGGGACGGGGCUUUGGCUGUGAUUCAUACCACCACCAUCCUGGGUGAGAAAGCAGGGUGGAGAAGGUUAGGGGGUGCAUCUGAAGAGGCAGGUGGAGGAUAUCUGGGGCACUGGGACAUUCGUUCUGAUUGUUUCCCUCUUGUGGUCAGAUAUUUGUGGAGGAAUCAGGUGGUGGGGGUUGAGGGGUGGCUGUGCUUUGGAGUCACAGAGUCUGGUACAGAAUCACAUCUGCUCCACUUGCUCAAGAGUGAUUCUCGGCUCUUCUAAGUUCACCAAGCUCGUGUUUCCUCAUCGUAUAGUGGGAUCAAGUCUAAUGCCUAAACCAAAAGCUUUUGGGGAGGCUCAAAACAGAAAAUAUUUCACUGCUCUUGAGGGGACUUGGAAAAGGCUGGAAGAGGCUGUAGGAAAAUGUGAGCAGCAGACCUCAGUGGAGUUGUUUUUCUAUAAAAACAGAUAUAACUCUGUCGUGAGCUUAGAGUUGCUUUUUUGUUCAAUACAUUUUUCUAUAUUUCAGAUUCCUUACCUCAGGAAAACGAAAACAAGGGUUAUUGAUAAAUAUGUUGGUACUAUGCUCCAAAUGAUAAUUGUUCGCUGACACUGUGCUCUCUGCUUUACUGAGGUGUGUGGAUUAGCAUCCACAGCAGAGCUGACUUGACUGUGGGCACACCGCCAUGUGUCAUUUCUUGUGAUGUGGCCAUAGGCGCAAUUCUAGUGUCUCAUCCCCAGGAAGCCUCUGCCAGCCCCUCCAGGGCUUCUCCUCUGAGUAACUGUCGCCCAGGGCUACUCCCAGCACUUAGCACAUCCUGUUGCAAUGAUUCCCUCUGCUAGACUGGGACCUCCUUAGGCCCACGCUGUUCUAUUCAUCUCCGAAUCAUGGGCCUUGUCUCUUGUUCCUAAAUGCUGCCUUCCUUCCUGUUAGCCCAGGUUCCCUUACAGGCUACAGGGAGUCCUCAGGCUCAGGAACCAGAGCUCCUGCAGCAGAGAACAGCUGACCUAUACUUUGUCUAUGCUCCAUUUCCAAAGUCCUGGGGAAGAAUUUUGAUUAUUUUCAUAUGGGUCAGGUCUACAUCCUUUCAACUAGUCCCAGGGAGUGGUAUGUUAUAAUGAUCUCAGCUUUAGUCAGUGGUCCAUUCCCAGGGGAAUCUGGUGCGGUGAGUGAGGCAGGGUCUCUACAAUCAUGUCAGCUCUUAUAAAUCCAUUGGUUGCAGUGGAGGAAGAUGAAUCAGUUAGGAAUGCAUUCAGCUUCAUGAUAAUAGCAAGAAGCUCUUAUUUAAAUCAACGGGUUGCCCUGGGGAAGAAGCAUAUAUCAGGAAUAUAUUUGCAAAAGUGCAAACAUUGGUUUUUGGAGGAUGAAAGUAUCUGAGAUACUGCAGUGAUGUGUAGCCUUCUAAAGCCCAUCCCUACCUAACAAUGUAAACAGAUAUGUAUAGGUAUUAAAAUUUCAUGAGGGCAGGGAUAGGAAAGGUAUGUCUAAAAAGGGGUUUCAGUGGAUUUGAUGGUGAAAAAAAAGGGUUGCGAUACACUGAGUUAUAAUGACAGUUAUCAUGCCUAACACUUAUGUAGUACUUAACAAGCAACAGAAUUUUUUUUUUUGCCUUAUAUAUUUUAUUAACUCUAAAAAUAUGGCCAUUUUACAGUGGCUUCAACAAGUAGACUUGAUUUCCUACUCUCUUGCUCUUAAAUAAAAGUCCAAAGGUGAUUAGACCAUGUCAAAAUGAGCGUAUCUUUAGUUGUGUAGACUUUUCCUUCAGGCUAGUAACCUCAUGGUUAUGAGAUCAUUGCUGUAGCUCCAGACAUUGCAUCCACCUUUAAUACUAGAAGAGUGGGGAAAAAAUGGAGAAAGCAGUAUCUCCUUUUUCUUUUUGUUCAUCUUUUUUAAAAAUGAGAAAAGUAAAAGCUUUUCCAGAAACUCUCCUACUGGAUUUCUGCCUAUGUCUCUUUGGGUGGAAUAAGGUUGCCUGGCCACUUGUAGCUAAAAGACAGGUAGGGAUAGGAGAACAAGAUUGUUCUGUUCACUUAGAUCCACACAAUCUAAUAUGAUAGCCAGCUAGGACUAUUCAAAACAGGUUUUUUUGUAAUUGAGAUACAAUUCAUAGUCCAUAGUAUUUACCAUACUAAGUGCAUAUUUUGGUGAUUUCUUAUAUAUUCAUGAGAUUAUGCAACUGUCACCACUAUUUAAUUCUAGAAUAUUUUCAUCACUACCAAAAGAUUCCAAUAUUCAUUAGUAGUCACUCCCCAUUCCCCCUUCCCCCAGCCCGUGGCAACACAAAGCUACUUUCUGUCCCUACGGAUUUGUCUGUUCUGCACAUUAUACAUAAAUGGAAUUAUAUGAUAUGUGGCAUUUUAUGUCUGGCUUCUUUCAGUUAGCAUACAUUUUUUAAGGUUCAUUUAAGUUGGAACAUGUGUCAGCACUUAAAAAAAAAAAAAAAUAGGAGUUCCCAUCCUGGCUCAGCUGAAAUGAAUCUAACUAGUAUCCAUGAGGAUGCAGGUUUGAUCCCUGGCCUCACUCAGCGGUUUAAGGAUCCAGCAUUGCCAUGAGCUGGGGUGUAGGUCACAGAUGCAGCUCAGAUCUGGCGUUCCUUCGGCUAUGGCGUAGGCCUAUGGCUACAGCUCAGAUUCCACGCCUAGCUUGGGAGCUUCCAUAUGCCCCAGGAGUGGCCCUGAAAGGCCAAAAAAAAAAAAAA